ncrna:unclassified sequences Glutamine-II riboswitch (downstream peptide RNA)
GUCCGUUCAUCCCGCAAGGGACGCAUGACACCCAAGCAUGGAACGGGGCUUGGA